GCACUGGCAUAAGCAAGGAGUCGGAUAAUCAACUCAAGCUUUGUUUAACUUGGCAAAACUAUGCAAAACUCGUAAAUGACACACCAAAACCAAUGUAUUUAACAUUACAGUAUCCACUGGUGUAUCUAAACAAGUAGUUAUUGAUUGUACAAGGAUACAAACUCCAAAAUAGGACAAAAAGGAUAUUACAUUGGAAAGUAUGCUACAACAAUUGGACACGAAUUGUGACCACAGAUGCUGGAACAGGAAAUAUCCAUGACGGCUUUGCCAAGACCAUGCUAAUAUAAAUUGAAUCACCUUAGAAGAAAAAUUUAAGGGGGGUGGGGGGUGGAAAAGGAUAUUACAUUGGAAAGUAUGCUACAACAAUUGGACACGAAUUGUGACCACAGAUGCUGGAACAGGAAAUAUCCAUGACGGCUUUGCCAAGACCAUGCUAAUAUAAAUUGAAUCACCUUAGAAGAAAAAUUUAAGGGGGGUGGGGGGUGGNNNNN
rnacentral:lncRNA from 1 species